rnacentral:tRNA from 1 species
CCCUGAGUGGUGCAAACGGUUAACACGAUCAGGUGCUAACUGAAAGGUUGGUGGUUCAAGUCCACCCAGAGGCA